rnacentral:rRNA from 1 species
GAGAGGACCGGGAUGGACGCACCUCUGGCGCACCAGUUGUUCCGCCAGGAGCACAGCUGGGCAACUAUGUGCGGAUCGGAUAAACGCUGAAAGCAUCUAAGCGUGAAGCCGACUCCAAGAUAAGAUAUCCCAUAGCGUAAGCUAGUAAGGCCCCUUGAAGACUACAAGGUUGAUAGGCUGCGUGUGUAAGCAUGGUAACAUGUUCAGCUUGGCAGUACUAAUAGGCCGAGGGCUUGACCAU